rnacentral:rRNA from 1 species
UACCCGCUGGAAUUAAGCAUAUUAAUAAGCGGAGGAAAAGAAACUAACUAGGAUUCCCUCAGUAAGGGCGACUGAAGCGGGAAGAGCUCAUAAUGUGAAUCGGUGUUUCGGCACUGAAUUGUGGUCUAUAGAUUCUCACACUACUGGCUGGGUUAAGUCCCUUGGAAUAGGGCGGCAUAGAGGGUGAGACCCCCGUGAACCUGGACUUUGGAGUGAGUUUCAACGAGUCGAGUUGUUUGGGAUUGCAGCUCUAAGUGGGAGGUAAAUUCCUUCUAAAGCUAAAUAUGGGCGAGACACCGAUAGUGUACAAGUACCGUGAGGGAAAGAUGCAAAGAACUUUGAAAAGAGAGUUAAAGAGUACCUGAAAUUGCUGAAAGGGAAGCGAAGGAAACUAGUGAUGGUCCUGUAGCAUUUUCUUGUUGGCUUGCUGGCAAGACGCUGUUACGGACCGCGCAACACUUGGUUGAGAUGGAUCCAGUACCUCAUUUGUCGUUGACAGUUGAUGGAAAGGUUUGACUUGACUGAGCUGGGGCUAAAUGGUUUUCUUCUCCCCGUCUUGAAACACGGGAACCAAGGA